AGCGGAGUAGUCCAAAGGAAGAGACACUGGUCUCAUAAGCCAGUAUAGUAUGAGUUCGACUCUCAUCUCCGCUCCCA
rnacentral:tRNA from 1 species